AACAUCCGGACUCCCAAGCCUGGGGAGAGGCUCGACUUCACACACAUGCUGCAUGUUGAAGCCCAUGUCUUGAGUUCAGAGCUGUCAGGCUCCAGUCGUGGAAGGUCACAACUCUGCAGGGAUUUGUCCUACUCCUCUUUCUUCCAGCAGAUUCAGCUCAGCAAGUCCUCACUCCUUCUCCUGAUGCACUGAACCACAAUAUUAAGCUCAGCUAGUCUCGAGCUAAAAAUAGACCGUGGUUUUGAGGGGAAGAGAAUAGCUCAGGACAGAAGUCUUUCAUUUGACUUCAUAUAGACGAGCACCACAGCUUUGAAGUGCACGUGUAGGAGGGCCUCUGCUCGUUCGAGUGUUAUGAAGUGGAGCUCACAAUGUUUAAUGUGGUCUCGGAAAUGCCUCACAAAACAGUCUGAGCUCCUCAGCUCAGGUUCAGAAUAUAAACAGUACCGACAGACACCGGCCUCCACCGGGAAGACACGUUUAUAUACAUGUGAGGAGGAAAAAAAGAACUUUGUGUCUACUUUUAUGUCUCAAAGCAGUGAUCAAGGCCGGUGUUGUAUCUGAGACAUAAACAGUAACUGCAUGCACAGAGAUUGUGUUGUAAAUGACACCCGCACGUACGGCGAGAAAGAAGGACCAACCCAGUGCUCUUUCUCUCUCUCUCUCUCUCUCUCUCUCUCUCUCUCUCUCUCUCUCUCUCCCUCUCUCUCUCUCUCUCCCGGGCGCGCGCGCAAGUCGGCAUCUCAGGAGCUGACGGAGAAGCCUCGCGCAUGUACACACUGAUGGACUCAAGUUCGAUGUAAUAAUAAUAAAUGGCAUGACUUAUAAUUCCAGCCUCCACGCAGGAUAACUGGCUUAUUAAUGCGAAAUGAAAUAUAUGAAAUAGAGAGCUCGUGCUCAGGGGCUGUUUACGGUUAGGACUAAAUAGUCUACAGACAGGUAAGAUCAGCGCGAGCAAAUAUCUGUGUGUGUGUGUGUGUGUGUGUGUGUGUGUGUGUGUGUGUGUGUGGGUGGGUGGGUGUGUUUUCUAUCAUUUGAAAUAUAUAUUUUUUUUUAAAAUGGGCGCUAUCUAUCUAUCUAUCUAUCUGUCUGUCUAUCUAUCUAUCUGUCUAUCUAUCUAUCCGUCUAUCUAUCUAUACAUCCAUUCCACUCACAGGAUAAUUGGAUAAAGAAUUUUCUCGUCACCUUUUUUUGGAGAAAUGAUGUUUGACAUUUAAGCACAGUGGGUUCUCGGCAUCUAGUAGGGACAAUUGCAGAAAAUUAAUUAAUUAAUGCAUUUAUUUAUUUAUUUAUUUUAUUUCAUUUAUUCGUUCUCCGCAUUAUAAACUACGUGUUAUUUACAUGUUUGUCUCGCUUUUUUUUUAUAUAAAAAAAGAUAUUUUAUUUCUAAUAUUCG
ensembl:lncRNA